rnacentral:rRNA from 1 species
GACGAACGCUGGCGGCGUGCCUAAUACAUGCAAGUAGAACGCUGAAGAGAGGAGCUUUCUCUUCUUGGAUGAGUUUCGAACGGGUGAGUAACGCGUAGGUAACCUGCCUGGUAGCGGGGGAUAACUAUGGGAAACGAUAGCUAUUACCGCAUAAAAUGGAUUAUCUCAUGAUAGUCCAUUGAAAGGUGCAAAUGCAUCACUACCAGCUGGACCUGCGUUGUAUUAGCUAGUUGGUGGGGUAACGGCUCACCAAGGCGACGAUACAUAGCCGACCUGAGAGGAUGAGCGGCCACACUGGGACUGAGACACGGCCCAGACUCCUACGGGAGGCAGCAGUAGGGAAUCUUCGGCAAUGGACGAAAGUCUGACCGAGCAACGCCGCGUGAGUGAAGAAGGUUGUCGGGUCGUAAAGCUCUGUUAAAAGGGAAGAACGGGUGUGAGGGGGGAAAGUACAAGGAGUGACGGUACCUGACCAGAAAGGGACGGCUAACUACGUG